GAUUCUGGGUGGUGUGGACACAGCGUAAUGCCAAGCCUCGAAUCCGAACAUAACAGUCGAUCUGCCAAAGUGUUAGCGCGAAUGCAGUUCGUGCUAUUGGUGCCCAAGAUGACAUAGAUGCUGUCAAGGAUGGAGGACAUUCCUUAAACGAUGACCGGCUUACCGGUGUUUAACCUCAAGGAAGGUUCUUGGCGAGCAGAAGGUGUCGUGAAACGAUUUCCGAGCUAAUCAGUGCUUUUCUGUGCCACGAAUAGCUUUAGUUCUGCUCUAAUAGUGAUACAUGAUAUAAUAAAAUACAUAAAAAGUAACAAAAAUACAA